GCAUCCAUGGCUGAAUGGUUAAAGCGCCCAACUCAUAAUUGGUAAAUUUGUGGGU
rnacentral:tRNA from 1 species